rnacentral:rRNA from 1 species
UGGGGAAUAUUGCACAAUGGGCGCAAGCCUGAUGCAGCAACGCCGCGUGAGGGAUGACGGCCUUCGGGUUGUAAACCUCUUUUAGUAGGGAAGAAGCGAAAGUGACGGUACCUGCAGAAAAAGCACCGGCUAACUACGUGCCAGCAGCCGCGGUAAUACGUAGGGUGCGAGCGUUGUCCGGAAUUAUUGGGCGUAAAGAGCUCGUAGGCGGUCUGUCGCGUCUGCUGUGAAAAUCCCCGAGGCUCAACCUCGGGCCUGCAGUGGGUACGGGCAGACUAGAGUGCGGUAGGGGAGAAUGGAAUUCCUGGUGUAGCGGUGGAAUGCGCAGAUAUCAGGAGGAACACCGAUGGCGAAGGCAGUUCUCUGGGCCGUAACUGACGCUGAGGAGCGAAAGCGUGGGGAGCGAACAGGAUUAGAUACCCUGGUAGUCCACGCCGUAAACGUUGGGCGCUAGAUGUGGGGCACCAUUCCACGGUUUCCGUGUCGCAGCUAACGCAUUAAGCGCCCCGCCUGGGGAGUACGGCCGCAAGGCU